rnacentral:lncRNA from 1 species
GUCGAACCGAGCGAGGUAGGAGUCCCAUGAUUCAGAGGCUGGCGCAAAAGGCGGUAGAGGCACAAGUGAAGCCAUGAUUCCGAUGCCGGCGUGAAGGGCGAUGGAUGGAACACAGUGCUCUAGCCAGAACAGUCAGCUCUGAAUUGGUUCUGCCCAGUGAUUUCGCUCAGUGAUUUCGCUCUGUGAUUCAGCUCAGUGAUUCAGCUCAGUUCAGAGGCUGGCCGCAUCUGGCUGUGCUCUGAUGUCCAUCCAUCCCAUCCUCGUCGCCAGUGUUAAGUCGUGGGUUGACAUAGCAGCCGGCACAGCGAUUUCUUCAAGUAGCUCUUUAUUAUGGUAAGCUGGAAUAGAACUGACUGCGAACAGCUCAGCCGGCCUGUAUUUAUAGGCAGCCGGCUGUCAACAUUGUAACCACAACAGCCCAGAGUUCCCGCCUAAAAUAACAGACGCGGACCUGAGUGAAAACUAUCUACAGACCUGAGUGAAAACUAUAUACAGUAUCCCCCUGUUGGCCCAGGGUGAAACUACACUACAUAACACUCUGGAUCAAAUGCAUCUGCUGGGUUGACUACUUGAGGUCAACCAGGCGUGGCGUUUGAUUGGCAGAGGCGCCGCCGAUCGGCCUCUUCCUCCCGUCGCCAGGAGUCUCAGCUUCGUGGGGGGUUCCAGCUUUGCGGCAGGUUCUUAAAUGGCUGGGCCUGAUCCGGCCCCUGAUUCAGUUUGCCGACCCCUGAUUCAGAAUCUAUUAAGACCAUGGCAAUAUUGACAGUAAAAGCAGUUGAGAAACCUUCCCCUCCCCCCACUUGACAUUGUUGAUUGGUGGAACUGGCACUGGCCAAUUGACUCCCCUUUUCCACAUUUGCCAGUACAAGAAGCUCAGCUGGUACAGCCUGAGGCUCUUGAUUUCAGGGUUCUGGGUUCAAGAUUCCUGCCUUGUGGGGGGUUGGACUAGAUGACCCUCGGGGCCCUCCUGGCUCCAACAACCUUUGGAACUCCCUGCCUCUUGAUACCAACCAGGCACCUUGGCCAGACUCUCUUUGGUCGCCUGCUAAAAACAUCCCUGCCCAGCGGCUCAGAAAUAUUGAUCUCCGUUUCAGCUUUCUGCAUGCUUUCAAGUAUUCCUGUCCAUUUCCCUGGGUUUUCUGGUCAUUCACCUUUCCCUGCUUCAUUUUCCUCCUUUUCAGCUUCUGAAGAAAAACCCAAAUCGGAGAAGCCCAAAUCCGAGGUCAGUGUCCAAGGCAACCCAGCUCCUGGCUUGAUUUGUUGCCUGUCUCCGGAUCCCGUUGAAAGGGCGAAGUGGAUCGUAGGCCCCCGGACUCCUGGGUCCCUCCUCUUUGGCUGCCCAUUCUUGCCCCUCCGGUCCCUUGUGGGAAGCCCCCUUCCCCUUCCUUUAUGGGGGUCAGGGGUCUGCUUGGCUUCGCAUCCUGCAGAUUCACAGCUGUGAUUUUAAGGAGGGGGCCAGAUCUGUGCAUAGCAAAAGCCCCCCUUUCUGACAGUCCCUGCCCCUCCUCACUUGCGUGCUGUGAAAUGAUUAAUUGGAAGGGAGCCCUGAGGGUCAUCUAGUCCAACCUUCCGUAAGACAGGAAUCGCAACAAAAGCAUCUCUGAACUCUGACUCUGCACAUGCUCUAGGAGACUCUUGAGGGGGGCCUGUGUUGUCUUUGGGAUUGUGGGAGAGAACCUUUUUGGAGUAGUAAUAAUAAUAAUAAUAAUAAUAAUAAUAAUAAUAAUAAUAAUAAUUUAUUAUUUAUACCGCGCCCAUCUGGCUGAGUUUCCCCAGCCACUCUGGGCGGCUCCCAAGCAGUGUUAAAAACAGCACAGUGUUAUAUAUUAAAAACUUCCCUGAACAGGGCUGCCUUAAGAUGUCUUCUGAAUGUCAGGUAAUUAUUUAUCUCUUUGACAUCUGAUGGGAGGGCGUUCCACAGGGCGGGCGCCACUACCGAGAAGGCCCUCUGUCUGGUUCCCUGUAGCCUCACUUCUCGCAAUGAGGGAACCGCCAGAAGGCCCUCGGCGCUGGAUCUCAGUGUCCGGGCUGAACGAUGGGGGUGGAGACGCUCCUUCAGGUAUACAGGACCGAGGCCAUUUAGGGCUUUAAAGGUCAGCACCAACACUUUGAAUCGUGCUCGGAAACGUACUGGGAGCCAAUGCAGAUCUCUCAGAACCGGUGUUAUGUGGUCUCGGCGGCCACUCCCA